rnacentral:lncRNA from 1 species
CGAUAUCUUUGUAACAAGUGCAUCAAACCUUCCCAAUGCCAACUUUCAUCUACACAACAAGUGCAAAGAAUCUUCCUAGUUCCAAUUAGGCUUCUUCAAUCUGCUAAUGAUGCCCGGUCCUGAAAAGAUGAGGUAUGCAAUUUCUGUCUUCUUUUGAUUUUCCUGAGGAUGCCUAAAUUUAACAAAGAGAUAGGUGUUGUGAAGAUGAACAAAGGCAAUCAAAAAUCCUGAUUGCCGCGGGAACAAGACAGCAUAUGGAUGGCUUUGCAUG